UACGUAGGGGGCAAGCGUUGUCCGGAUUUAUUGGGCGUAAAGAGCGUGUAGGCGGCCUGAAAGGUCAGCUGUGAAAACUCGAGGCUCAACCUCGAGACGUCGGUUGAAACCAUCUGGCUAGAGUCCGGAAGAGGAGAGUGGAAUUCCCGGUGUAGCGGUGAAAUGCGCAGAUAUCGGGAAGAACACCCGUGGCGAAGGCGGCUCUCUGGGACGGUACUGACGCUGAGGUGCGAAAGCGUGGGGAGCGAACAGG
rnacentral:rRNA from 1 species